UUACAGAUUUUUGUGUUUCAUAUAAAAUGAAACUAAAUUAUACCUAAAAAUUGAGAGACAGCUGCGAACGAUUCGAACAGAUACAGUGAGAAUAGUUUGACGUUGACGUAUGUGUGGAACGCACCUGCAUAUGGCGGACGCUCAGUUUGUGUUUAUGUCAAUAAGAAACUGAUUUUUAACAUUUGCGCGGGUGUGGAUUUAAUUAAAUAUAAACCGAUAUGUGUUAGUGAAAUUUGUGAAUUGUGUAUAAUUUUCGUGAUAAUGGUUUUUGUUGGUGAACUUUUGGAUGACCUCUUAACUACACUGUACUUUUAAGGACAUUUAGUUGCCGAACAGUUACCAAGGAUGGUAGCUGAAACCACACCCAUUCCCUUUCCUUUCAACACCUGAAGACAUCCUCAAGAAUCCUCUUACCUUGUUGCUCUCGACACCUGAAGACAAGAAUCCCAUCUAUUGAUCCCGUUGCUCCAGAAAUCCAAGCAUUACACUCCUGACUCCUUUCCUAAGCUCCCAUUUGUUGUUGGUCGUUUAUUUUAACACCUGACCGAGAAUUUUUACUGUUCAACUCACGUUUCACAGCUGGGUCUCGGGUGCUAUAAGUAAUAUUUGGCAGUAACUGUUAACAGUUAACUGUACUGUUAGUUGCGGCGGGAAUAGCGUGAAAAUCGUAAAUAUCUCGGCGUUAUG